GUGCUUGCUUUGGCAGCACAUAUGCUAACAUUGGAAUAAUACAGAAAAGAUUAAUUUGGCCCCUGCACAAGAAUGACAUGCAAACUCACGAAGUAUUCCAUAUUUUU
ensembl:snRNA U6 U6 spliceosomal RNA